CAGCAGCCACGGUAAUACGGAGGGUGCAAGCGUUAAUCGGAAUUACUGGGCGUAAAGCGCACGCAGGCGGUCUGACAAGUCAGAUGUGAAAUCCCCGGGCUUAACCUGGGAACUGCAUUUGAAACUGUCAGGCUGGAGUCUUGUAGAGGGGGGUGGAAUUCCAGGUGUAGCGGUGAAAUGCGUAGAGAUCUGGAGGAAUACCGGUGGCGAAGGCGGCCCCCUGGACAAAGACUGACGCUCAGGUGCGAAAGCGUGGGGAGCAAACAGGAUUAGAUACCCGAGUAGUCCCUGUCUCUUAUAU
rnacentral:rRNA from 1 species